rnacentral:rRNA from 1 species
AUACGUAGGUGGCGAGCGUUGUCCGGAAUUACUGGGCGUAAAGGAUGCGUAGGUGGAUAUUUAAGUGGGAUGUGAAAUCCCCGGGCUCAACCCGGGAACUGCAUUCCAAACUGGGUAUCUAGAGUGCAGGAGAGGAAAGCGGAAUUCCUAGUGUAGCGGUGAAAUGCGUAGAUAUUAGGAGGAACACCAGUGGCGAAGGCGGUUUUCUGGACGGUAACGGACACUGAGGCAUGAAAGCGUGGGUAGCAAACAGGAUUAGAUACCCUGGUAGCCCACGCCGUAAACGAUGAAUACUAGGUGUCGGGCCCGCACAGGGUUCGGUGCCGGAGCAAACGCAUUAAGUAUUCCACCUGGGGAGUACGUUCGCAAGAAUGAAACUCAAAGGAAUUGACGGGG